UGGGGAAUCUUGCACAAUGGAGGAAACUCUGAUGCAGCGACGCCGCGUGAGCGAAGAAGCCUUUCGGGGUGUAAAGCUCUUACGCCAGGGACGAUAAUGACGGUACCUGGAGAAGCAGCUGCGGCUAACUACGUGCCAGCAGCCGCGGUAAUACGUAGGCAGCAAGCGUUGUUCGGAAUUACUGGGCGUAAAGGGUGCGUAGGCGGCGCUCUAAGUUUGGUGUGAAAUCUCCCGGCUUAACUGGGAGGGUGCACUGAAAACUGGGGCGCUCGAGUAUGGGAGAGGAAAGCGGAAUUCCUGGUGUAGCGGUGAAAUGCGUAGAUAUCAGGAGUAACACCGGCGGUGUAGACGGCUUGCUAGACCAUAACUGACGCUGAGGCACGAAAGCGUGGGUAGCAAACA
rnacentral:rRNA from 1 species